rnacentral:lncRNA from 1 species
GCUCUGUCCUCAUUUCUCUCUUCCACACCUUUUGUCCAACCACCAUCAGUCUUAGAAAAUCCCAUGCGGUGCAGAGUAUGGCGGUUGAUAGUGUCGGAGUGAGAUAGCCUAGCUACUGCCUCCCCCUCAAAGCUAACUCCAAACCUCCUAAAUACUAAAGUGAGAGCCAUACCGAAAGGCAAAUGUGCCUUGGACCUAUUCAAGGUCUCUCUCAUAGCGUCAAUCAUUAAUGCCGGGAGGUUCAAGGGGGUUUGAGUAAUAAUAUGAUACAUAAUGCAGAUGUCCCGACC